ACGUACGCUGGCGGCACGCCUAACACAUGCAAGUCGAACGAAGUAGCAAUACUUAGUGGCAGACGGGUGAGUAACAUGUAGGUAUCUGCCCUUUGGCCUGGAAUAACACGAGGAAACUUGUGCUAAUACCGGAUAAGUCUUUACGGAGAAAGCUUUAUGCACCAUUGGAUGAGCCUGCACUUGAUUAGUUUGUUGGUAGGGUAAUGGCCUACCAAGACUGUGAUCAAUAGCUGAUUUGAGAGGAUGAUCAGCCACAUUGGGACUGAGACACGGCCCAAACUCCUACGGGAGGCAGCAGUGGGGAAUCUUGCACAAUGGAGGAAACUCUGAUGCAGCGAUGCCGCGUGAGUGAAGAAGGCCCUUGGGUUGUAAAGCUCUUUCGUCGGGGAAGAAAAUGACUGUACCCGAAUAAGAAGGUCCGGCUAACUUCGUGCCAGCAGCCGCGGUAAUACGAAGGGACCUAGCGUAGUUCGGAAUUACUGGGCUUAAAGAGUUCGUAGGUGGUUGAAAAAGUUAGUGGUGAAAUCCCAGAGCUUAACUCUGGAACUGCCAUUAAAACUUUUCAGCUAGAGUAUGAUAGAGGAAAGCAGAAUUUCUAGUGUAGAGGUGAAAUUCGUAGAUAUUAGAAAGAAUACCAAUUGCGAAGGCAGCUUUCUGGAUCAUUACUGACACUGA
rnacentral:rRNA from 1 species